rfam:Aedes albopictus isolate Foshan contig142855, whole genome shotgun sequence.
GGCUCCGUAGCUUGGAGGAAAGAAGCGCCCGUCUAGCUAAUCGGGAGUCGUGGGUUCGAUUCCCACCGGAGCAC